rnacentral:rRNA from 1 species
CCUACGGGAGGCAGCAGUAGGGAAUUUUGGACAAUGGGCGCAAGCCUGAUCCAGCAACGCCGCGUGGGGGAAGAAGGUUUUCGGAUUGUAAACUCCUUUUGUAAGAGAAGAUAAUGACGGUAUCUAAAGAAUAAGCACAGGCUAAAUCUGUGACAACAGCCGCGGUAAUACGGAGGGUGCAAACGUUACUCGGAAUCACUGGGCGUAAAGAGCGCGAAGGUGGGAUAGCAAGUCAGAUGUGAAAUCCUAUGGCUUAACCAUAGAAAUGCAUUUGAGACUGUUAGUCUAGAGUGUGUGAGAGGUAGGUGGAAUUCUAGGUGUAGGAGUAAAAUGCGUAGAUAUCAAGAGGAAUACUGAUGGCGAAGGCGGCCUCCUAGAACGUAACUGACGCUGAUGCGCGAAAGCGUGGGGAGCAAACAGGAUUAGAUACCCCAGUAGUC